UACGUAGGUGGCAAGCGUUGUUCGGAAUUACUGGGCGUAAAGCGCGCGUAGGCGGCUCUUCAAGUCAGGCGUGAAAGCCCCGGGCUUAACUCGGGAACUGCGCUUGAUACUGUCGAGCUAGAGUGUGGAAGGGGCGAUUGGAAUUCCGUGUGUAGCGGUGAAAUGCGUAGAUAUACGGAGGAACACCAGGGGCGAAGGCGGAUCGCUGGGCCAACACUGACGCUGAUGUGCGAAAGCUAGGGGAGCAAACGGG
rnacentral:rRNA from 1 species